CUCUCUCUCAACUUCAAAGUUGAGCCUCCCUUGCCAUAUACGUAUCGCCAUUGGAACCUCAGACCAUCUCCUUCAUCUUUACAGAAAGCUUCCUUCAAUUGUUCGACGGGGAGGUGUUGAAGGCGGGUGUUCUUCUGGAAUGCAAGCACAGAAGGUUUUUUGAAAGUACGCAGCAAAAAAUUAAGAGGAAGACCCGAGAAGCUGCAAAACCUAAACUGAAAAGGAAUGAUGCUUAAAGCUUAUGUGACAACUUGGAAGUCGCAACAUUUUUACCUUAUAUUUGUUUUAUGAGUUUUGAUUUUAGAUUAUUG